rnacentral:rRNA from 1 species
AUUGAACGCUGGCGGCAGGCCUAACACAUGCAAGUCGAGCGGUAGAGAGAAGCUUGCUUCUCUUGAGAGCGGCGGACGGGUGAGUAAUGCCUAGGAAUCUGCCUGAUAGUGGGGGAUAACGUCCGGAAACGGACGCUAAUACCGCAUACGUCCUACGGGAGAAAGUGGGGGCUCUUCGGACCUCACGCUAUCAGAUGAGCCUAGGUCGGAUUAGCUAGUUGGUGGGGUAAAGGCUCACCAAGGCGACGAUCCGUAACUGGUCUGAGAGGAUGAUCAGUCACACUGGAACUGAGACACGGUCCAGACUCCUACGGGAGGCAGCAGUGGGGAAUAUUGGACAAUGGGCGAAAGCCUGAUCCGGCCAUGCCGCGUGUGUGAAGAAGGUCUUCGGAUUGUAAAGCACUUUAAGUUGGGAGGAAGGGUCGUUACCUAAUACGUGGCGAUUUUGACGUUACCGACAGAAUAAGCACCGGCUAACUCUGUGCCAGCAGCCGCCGUAAAAC